GGCCACAGCCAUAUCACCCUGCAGCCCAAGACUGGUUGCCCACUGAAGCUAAGCAGGCUUGAGCCUGGUCAGUACCUGGAUGGGAGACCUCCUGGGAAAACUAGGUUGCUAGGUUG
rnacentral:rRNA from 1 species